GACAGAGGUGCCAAGCGUUAGGCGGAAUCACUGGGCUUAAAGCGUGUGUAGGCGGAAUGGUAAGUACCUUGUGAAAUCCCACGGCUCAACCGUGGAACUGCUGGGUAUACUGCUUUUCUUGAGCCACUUAGGGGCUGUCGGAACAAACGGUGGAGCGGUGAAAUGCGUAGAUAUCGUUUGGAACGCCAAUGGUGAAAACAGACAGUUGGGAGUGUGCUGACGCUGAGACACGAAAGCCAGGGGAGCGAACGGG
rnacentral:rRNA from 1 species